CUGUCCUAUCAGAAUAAAAGCUCUGACAAGUUUGUUGUUUUUUUUUUCCCCUAGCUGGAACAGCUUCAAACAUGAUCUUCACACAGGAUUAUGCUUUCUGAGGCCCAGUAUAACUGAAUAUCGAAAAAUUGACUAUUCAUGUAUAUAUUUCUUCAGAUCUAUCCAUGAGCCUCAGGUUAAGAACCCUGGAAGUCUUACCUAAAGCUCCAUCCAAUUGAUUCUGUGGCUUGUUCAGGAGAAAAAAUAUACAAGAAUUUUGCAUGAAUUAGGUUCCAGAAAAAGUUAUAACGGGAAUAAAAAUAAACCAGUAAAUUGUACA
rnacentral:lncRNA from 1 species